GCGAUUGGAUGAGCCCAUGUCGGAUUAGCUAGUUGGCGGGGUAAAGGCCCACCAAGGCGACGAUCCGUAGCUGGUCUGAGAGGAUGAUCAGCCACACUGGGACUGAGACACGGCCCAGACUCCUACGGGAGGCAGCAGUGGGGAAUUUUCCGCAAUGGGCGAAAGCCUGACGGAGCAAUACCGCGUGAGGGAAGACUGCCUAUGGGUUGUAAACCUCUUUUUUCAGGGAGGAAUAAAUGACGUGUACCUGAAGAAUAAGCAUCGGCUAACUCCGUGCCAGCAGCCGCGGUAAUACGGGAGGGGCAAGCGUUAUCCGAAAUUACUGGGCGUAAAGAGUCCGUAGAUUGUAAUAUAAGUUAUAUGUUAAAAUUUAAAGCUUAACUUUAAAAAAAUAUACAAUACUGUUUUACUUGAGUUUUAUACGGAAGAGUAGAAUUUCAUGUUAAGGAGUAAAUUCCAAGAAUACAUGAAGGAAUAUCAUUAGCGAAGGCGACUCUUUAGUACAAACUGACAUUGAGGGACGAAAGUGUAGGGAGCAAACAGGAUUAGAUACCCUGGUAGUCUACACUGUAAAUUCUGAGUGCUGUAAUUUAGAAAAUAAAUUUUGGAUUUUUUAAGCUAACGCCAUAAGCAUUCCGCCUGAGGAGUACGAUUGCAAAAUUGGAACUCAAAGGAAUUGACGGGAGCCUACAACGAGUGGUGGAGCAUGUGGUUUAAUGCGAUAAUCCGCGCAAAACCUUACCAACCCUUGACAUAUUGAAAAAUAAUUUAAAUUAAUAAAUUUUUUUUAUUAUUAAUGUUAAUUAAAAAAUUAAUAGUUUUUCAUUACAGGUGUUGCACGACUGUCGUCAGUUCGUGUCGUGAGAUGUUUGGUUCAUUCCUUUAAACGAGCGUAACUCUUGUUUUUAAAAAUUUACUUUUAAUUUUCGAUUUAUAUUGAAAAUUUUGUUUUAAAAAGACUGUUUGUUAACUAAAGCUAAAACUUUAAAGGAAGGUGAGAAUUAAGUCAAGUCACUGUGGCCCUUAUGGUUUGGGCUACACACGUGCUACAAUGGCGGUGACAGUGGGCAGCAAACUCGCAAGG
rnacentral:rRNA from 1 species